rnacentral:rRNA from 1 species
UACAGAGGGGGCAAGCGUUGUUCGGAAUUACUGGGCGUAAAGGGCGCGUAGGCGGCCCGCUAAGUCGAACGUGAAAUCCCCGGGCUCAACCCGGGAACUGCGUCCGAUACUGGCAGGCUUGAAUCCGGGAGAGGGAUGCGGAAUUCCAGGUGUAGCGGUGAAAUGCGUAGAUAUCUGGAGGAACACCGGUGGCGAAGGCGGCAUCCUGGACCGAAAUUGACGCUGAGGCGCGAAAGCCAGGGGAGCAAACGGG